rnacentral:rRNA from 1 species
UACAGAGGGGCAAGCGUUAUUCGGAAUUAUUGGGCGUAAAGGGCGCGUAGGCGGCUUGGCAAGUGGAUGGUGAAAUCCCUCGGCUUAACCGAGGAACUGCCGUCCAAACUGCUUGGCUUGAGACCGGGAGAGGUGAGUGGAAUUCCCAGUGUAGCGGUGAAAUGCGUAGAUAUUGGAGGAACACCAGUGGCGAAGGCGGCUCACUGGACCGGUACUGACGCUGAUGCGCGAAAGCGUGGGGAGCAA